CCUUAUCGCGAGCAAGCUUCGCUCCUACAGGAGCAUGCGCAUUCCUCUGUAGGAGCGAAGCUUGCUCGCGAUCCAG
rnacentral:misc_RNA from 1 species